rnacentral:rRNA from 1 species
UACGGGGGGGGCAAGCGUUGUUCGGAAUUACUGGGCGUAAAGGGCUCGUAGGCGGCCAACUAAGUCAGACGUGAAAUCCCUAGGCUCAACCUAGGAACUGCGUCUGAUACUGGAUGGCUUGAAUCCGGGAGAGGGAUGCGGAAUUCCAGGUGUAGCGGUGAAAUGCGUAGAUAUCUGGAGGAACACCGGUGGCGAAGGCGGCAUCCUGGACCGGCAUUGACGCUGAGGCGCGAAAGCCAGGGGAGCAAACGGG